AAUUGUGUUUGACUGCUGAAUUUCAACUUCUUAAAAUUUCAUCAGUCGAACACAACCAC
rnacentral:pre_miRNA from 1 species